CUUUAAAAAAAACCAUACAGCUAGUUAAGUGUCAUAUAAUCAAUAUUAUUGUAAACUUGCGUACCAAAUGGUUAAAAUUUAAUCUAUAAAACCUUACGUCAUUUCAGUCUGGUCCAACUUUAUAUACGAGUAUAACUGAAUAGUAAAUACACAGUUAUCGCAAUUUAAUGUUUUAAUCCCUGUUUAGAUACAUUUUUUUCAAAAACCAUUCUAAGUUUUCAAUCAGAAAAGCAAUAAUAUUUAGGUGCCUUUACGUUAGUGUAAAUUGUGAAAAUAGCCAUACAAAUGCAUACUAAAAACUUACUAAAUACCAGCAAAACAAAAAAUGUGAAAACCGUAUGUGGAGAUGUUGGAGUAAUGCACAU